GGUACCUGCGGAGGGAUCAUUG
rnacentral:rRNA from 1 species